GUCUAUCUGAAAACGACAGCACCAACAGCUUCGAGCAUAUGUGAUUAUUUAGAUCUUGAGAGAACCAGACCAUGUGGCAUUGCAAUGGAUGAGUUGACAAGUUCAUUAACUUAAAGCUUUGAGGUGCGUCCCAGUUGAGGUGAUGAUCGACGGACACCUGCAGUCGAAAUACAGAUGUAGUAUUUCACGAAGAGGCUCAAUCCAUGUCUGGGAAACUGGGCCUGUCUAAAGUGUGAGGAACAAUGAAGUUGGACAAAUGACAAAACUACACAAGAUCAACA